GGAGAAAGCGUCAAUAAACCUUCAGAGUGAAGAAGAUUCUUCACGCACACAGCACGCGAAACUAAAAGUGACAAAAUGCUAACUCGUUAUUUGAUUUCGUUGGCACUGCUUUGUCUAGUAGUUGGCGCCCAGCGUGGAAUUCGACCACCGCAAGUAGUUCAUUAUUGCUGGCUUGGACCGAUAAAGAGUGGGCAUUCCAACUCGUGUGAUGCGCUAAUCCCGAGAUUCACAUUCAACGCAAGAAUCGGCAAAUGUGAAAAAUUCAAUUACGGAGGAUGCAAUGGUUCCAAAAAUCUAUUUAAAACGUCAGCCGAGUGCCAAAGAGCGUGCAAACACCUAGUCAAACGGGAAUCAAAGAGAUUGCCCCUGCAGUUUACCUAGAGGACGGAGGAAUCCAUCAUUAAAUUAAAUAUCGAACAGUGUGAAACACAGGGAAUCUGCAAAUCUUAAUAUACGUGGCUAGUACAAAAAAUGAAGUGUGUGAAAAUAAAAUUACAAUUGAUAAAAUCAUACCUAA